GACGAAGGGGGCUAGCGUUGUUCGGAAUUACUGGGCGUAAAGCGCGUGUAGGCGGUUGCCCAAGUCGGGUGUGAAAGCCUUGAGCUCAACUCAAGAAAUGCACUCGGUACUGGGUGACUAGAGGACCGGAGAGGAUAGUGGAAUUCCCAGUGUAGUGGUGAAAUGCGCAGAUAUCAGGAAGAACACCCGUGGCGAAGGCGGCUCUCUGGGACGGUACUGACGCUGAGGCGCGAAAGCUAGGGGAGCAAACGGG
rnacentral:rRNA from 1 species